rnacentral:tRNA from 1 species
GCCCCGGUAGCUCAGGGUUUCCUCUUGUCUUCUGGGGGUGACGGGCAACUGGCAGAGCGGCGGCCUCGUAAGCCGUAGGUCGCGGGUUCGAGUCAACAGGAGAAACACCCGCCCGGGGCUCCA